GAAAUACCCACUCAGGAGAAGAGCAGACUGAAAGUGUGCAUAAAAGAAAAUGGUGGAGUGGUUUAUUUUGUGCUGAAUCUCAAGGUACUAAUUCCAGCAAGCUCGUAAAUACUGCCAUAUUAAUGAGUGCUUACUUCUAAUCCACCUUGCGGAUUAGUUCAUUUGAGGAAUGAUUGUGCUUUGUGGAGAAGAGGAAAUAGAAGGAGUGUGAAGAAUACAAAGUAAGGAGGGUAUGAAAAUACAAAUCUUUCAAAUCCUGUAAGAACUGGCCUUCAGGACAGAUUGGGAAAUCCUGUCCCUCUGAAAAGUGUAGAUAUCAAGGCAACGACAACAGACUUUGUAGCACAGUGGCAUCUGUUCUAUGACCAAGUCCAUCAAAGCAAAGAAGAGUCGGAACAUACAGGGCAUAAACCAGAAAUUAUCAGAUGACAAGGAACAAUAUGAAGGGCAAUGAGGAAUU
rnacentral:lncRNA from 1 species